GCUGCAACUCGCCUGCAUGAAGUUGGAAUCGCUAGUAAUCGCGAAUCAGAAUGUCGCGGUGAAUACGUUCCCGGGCCUUGUACACACCGCCCGUCACACCAUGAGAGUCGAUAACACCCGAAGCCUGUGAGCUAACCGUAAGGAGGCAGCAGUCGAAGGUGGGGUUGAUGAUUGGGGUGAAGUCGUAACAAGGUAGC
rnacentral:rRNA from 1 species